rnacentral:rRNA from 1 species
UACGGGGGGGGGCAAGCGUUGUCCGGAAUCAUUGGGCGUAAAGCGCGUGUAGGCGGUCCGGUAAGUCCGCUGUGAAAGUCGGGGGCUCAACCCUCGGAUGCCGGUGGAUACUGUCGGGCUUGAGUACGGAAGAGGCGAGUGGAAUUCCUGGUGUAGCGGUGAAAUGCGCAGAUAUCAGGAGGAACACCAAUUGCGAAGGCAGCUCGCUGGGACGUUACUGACGCUAAGGCUCGAAAGCGUGGGGAGCGAACAGG